rnacentral:rRNA from 1 species
AACGAACGCUGGCGGCAUGCCUAACACAUGCAAGUCGAACGAGACCUUCGGGCCUAGUGGCGCACGGGUGCGGAACGCGUGGGAAGCUGCCCGUGGGUUCGGAAUAACAGUGAGAAAUUACUGCUAAUACCGGAUGAUGUCUUCGGACCAAAGAUUUAUCGCCCAGGGUUGAGCCCGCGUAGGAUUAGCUAGUUGGGGGGGUAAUGGCCUACCAAGGCGACGAUCCUUAGCUGGUCUGAGAGGAUGAUCAGCCACACUGGGACUGAGACACGGCCCAGACUCCUGCGAGAGGCGGCAGUGGGGACUCUUGGACCAUGGGCGCAAACCUGAUCCAGCGCUGCCGCGUGAGUGAUGAAGGCCUUAGGGUUGUAAAGCUCUUUUACCCGGGAUGAUAAGGCCGGUACCGGGAGAAUAGGCUCCGGCUACCUCCGU